rnacentral:rRNA from 1 species
AACGAACGCUGGCGGCAGGCUUAACACAUGCAAGUCGAACGCAUCCUUCGGGGUGAGUGGCAGACGGGUGAGUAACGCGUGGGAACGUGCCCUUCAGUUCGGGAUAACCCAGGGAAACUUGGGCUAAUACCGGAUACGUGCGAGAGCAGAAAGAUUUAUCGCUGGAGGAUCGGCCCGCGUCUGAUUAGCUAGUUGGUGGGGUAAUGGCCCACCAAGGCGACGAUCAGUAGCUGGUCUGAGAGGAUGAUCAGCCACAUUGGGACUGAGACACGGCCCAAACUCCUACGGGAGGCAGCAGUGGGGAAUAUUGGACAAUGGGCGCAAGCCUGAUCCAGCCACGCCGCGUGAGUGAUGAAGGCCUUAGGGUUGUAAAGCUCUUUCGUCCGGGACGAUAAUGACGGUACCGGAAGAAGAAGCCCCGGCUAACUUCGUGCCAGCCGCCGCGGUAA